UACGUAGGGGGCGAGCGUUGUCCGGAAUCAUUGGGCGUAAAGAGCGUGUAGGUGGACUGGUAGGUCUGGUGUGAAAGCCCGGGGCUCAACCCCGGAGGGUCACUGGAAACCAUCAGUCUUGAGUCCGGAAGAGGAGAGUGGAAUUCCUGGUGUAGCGGUGGAAUGCGCAGAUAUCAGGAGGAACACCAAUGGCGAAGGCAGCUCUCUGGUACGUGACUGACACUGAGACGCGAAAGCGUGGGGAGCGAACAGGAUUAGAUACCCU
rnacentral:rRNA from 1 species